UACGAAGGGGGCUAGCGUUGCUCGGAAUCACUGGGCGUAAAGGGUGCGUAGGCGGGGCUUUAAGUCAGGGGUGAAAUCCUGGAGCUCAACUCCAGAACUGCCUUUGAUACUGAAGAUCUUGAGUCCGGGAGAGGUGAGUGGAACUGCGAGUGUAGAGGUGAAAUUCGUAGAUGUUCGCAAGAACACCAGUGGCGAAGGCGGCUCACUGGCCCGGUACUGACGCUGAGGCACGAAAGCGUGGGGAGCAAACAGG
rnacentral:rRNA from 1 species